rnacentral:rRNA from 1 species
CCCCUAGGGAACGCUUACCAUGCAUGUCGACGAAAUCUUCGGAUUUAGUGGCGGACGGGUGAGUAACGCGUGAGAAUCUGGCUUCAGGUCUGGGACAACCACUGGAAACGGUGGCUAAUACCGGAUGUGCCCUUCGGGGUGAAAGAUUAAUUGCCUGAAGAUGAGCUCGCGUCUGAUUAGCUAGUAGGUGUGGUAAAGGCGCACCUAGGCGACGAUCAGUAGCUGGUCUGAGAGGACGAUCAGCCACACUGGGACUGAGACACGGCCCAGACUCCUACGGGAGGCAGCAGUGGGGAAUUUUCCGCAAUGGGCGAAAGCCUGACGGAGCAAUACCGCGUGAGGGAGGAAGGCUCUUGGGUCGUAAACCUCUUUUCUCAGGGAAGAACACAAUGACGGUACCUGAGGAAUAAGCAUCGGCUAACUCCGUGCCAGCAGCCGCGGUAAUACGGAGGAUGCAAGCGUUAUCCGGAAUGAUUGGGCGUAAAGCGUCCGCAGGUGGCUAUGUAAGUCUGCUGUUAAAGAGUCUAGCUCAACUAGAUAAGAGCAGUGGAAACUACAAGGCUAGAGUACGUUCGGGGCAGAGGGAAUUCCUGGUGUAGCGGAAAAGGGGCGAAAAAAAGGGGUUAAUAUAAAAUUUU